rnacentral:misc_RNA from 1 species
ACCGAUAGCAAAGCCUGGCUGUCGAUCCCUAUGCGGGAAUGUGGACAUUCCAUACCCUUUUGGUAUGGGAGCCAAUAAAUCUUGUUAUUUUGAUGAAUGGUUCAAGAUUGACUGCAACACGACUAGCAACUCUACUAGAGCUUUCCUCAGCAAAAUCAACAUGGAGGUGCUGAAUCUUUACUAUGAAAACUCCACUGUACGUG